rnacentral:rRNA from 1 species
UUUUAUGGAGAGUUUGAUCCUGGCUCAGAGUGAACGCUGGCGGCGUGCCUAAUACAUGCAAGUCGAACGAUGAAGCUUCUAGCUUGCUAGAAUGCUGAUUAGUGGCGCACGGGUGAGUAACGCAUAGGUCAUGUGCCUCUUAGUUUGGGAUAGCCAUUGGAAACGAUGAUUAAUACCAGAUACUCCCUACGGGGGAAAGAUUUAUCGCUAAGAGAUCAGCCUAUGUCCUAUCAGCUUGUUGGUAAGGUAAUGGCUUACCAAGGCUAUGACGGGUAUCCGGCCUGAGAGGGUGAACGGACACACUGGAACUGAGACACGGUCCAGACUCCUACGGGAGGCAGCAGUAGGGAAUAUUGCUCAAUGGGGGAAACCCUGAAGCAGCAACGCCGCGUGGAGGAUGAAGGUUUUAGGAUUGUAAACUCCUUUUGUUAGAGAAGAUAAUGACGGUAUCUAACGAAUAAGCACCGGCUAACUCCGUGCCAGCAGCCGCGGUAAUACGGAGGGUGCAAGCGUUACUCGGAAUCACUGGGCGUAAAGAGCGCGUAGGCGGGAUAGUCAGUCAGGUGUGAAAUCCUAUGGCUUAACCAUAGAACUGCAUUUGAAACUACUAUUCUAGAGUGUGGGAGAGGUAGGUGGAAUUCUUGGUGUAGGGGUAAAAUCCGUAGAGAUCAAGAGGAAUACUCAUUGCGAAGGCGACCUGCUGGAACAUUACUGACGCUGAUUGCGCGAAAGCGUGGGGAGCAAACAGGAUUAGAUACCCUGGUAGUCCACGCCCUAAACGAUGGAUGCUAGUUGUUGGAGGGCUUAGUCUCUCCAGUAAUGCAGCUAACGCAUUAAGCAUCCCGCCUGGGGAGUACGGUCGCAAGAUUAAAACUCAAAGGAAUAGACGGGGACCCGCACAAGCGGUGGAGCAUGUGGUUUAAUUCGAAGAUACACGAAGAACCUUACCUAGGCUUGACAUUGAGAGAAUCCGCUAGAAAUAGUGGAGUGUCUAGCUUGCUAGACCUUGAAAACAGGUGCUGCACGGCUGUCGUCAGCUCGUGUCGUGAGAUGUUGGGUUAAGUCCCGCAACGAGCGCAACCCCCUUUCUUAGUUGCUAACAGGUCAUGCUGAGAACUCUAAGGAUACUGCCUCCGUAAGGAGGAGGAAGGUGGGGACGACGUCAAGUCAUCAUGGCCCUUACGCCUAGGGCUACACACGUGCUACAAUGGGGUGCACAAAGAGAAGCAAUACUGCGAAGUGGAGCCAAUCUUCAAAACACCUCUCAGUUCGGAUUGUAGGCUGCAACUCGCCUGCAUGAAGCUGGAAUCGCUAGUAAUCGCAAAUCAGCCAUGUUGCGGUGAAUACGUUCCCGGGUCUUGUACUCACCGCCCGUCACACCAUGGGAGUUGUGUUUGCCUUAAGUCAGGAUGCUAAAUUAGCUACUGCCCACGGCACACACAGCGACUGGGGUGAAGUCGUAACAAGGUAACCGUAGGUGAACCUGCGGUUGGAUCACCUCCUUUCUAGA